rnacentral:tRNA from 5 species
GCCCUUGUAGCUCAGCCGGUAGAGCAGCGGUUUUGUAAACCGAAGGUCGCGGGUUCGAUUCCUGCCGGGGGCACCA